GACGAACGCUGGCGGCGUGCUUAACACAUGCCAGUCGAACGGAAAGGCCCUGCUUUUGUGGGGUGCUCGAGUGGCGAACGGGUGAGUAACACGUGAGUAACCUGCCCUUGACUUUGGGAUAACUUCAGGAAACUGGGGCUAAUACCGGAUAGGAGCUCCUGCUGCAUGGUGGGGGUUGGAAAGUUUCGGCGGUUGGGGAUGGACUCGCGGCUUAUCAGCUUGUUGGUGGGGUAGUGGCUUACCAAGGCUUUGACGGGUAGCCGGCCUGAGAGGGUGACCGGCCACAUUGGGACUGGGAUACGGCCCAGACUCCUACGGGAGGCAGCAGUGGGGAAUAGUGCACAAUGGGCGGAGGCCUGAUGCAGCAACGCCGCGUGCGAGAUGACGGCCUUCGGGUUGUAAACCGCUUUCGCCUGUGACGAAGCGUGAGUGACGGUAAUGGGUAAAGAAGCACCGGCUAACUACGU
rnacentral:rRNA from 1 species